rnacentral:tRNA from 1 species
GGAGAGAUGGCUGAGUGGUCGAAAGCACCGGUCUUGAAAACCGCCGGCGGUUUAUCCCGUCCUAGGGUUCAAAUCCCUAUCUCUCCGCCA